rnacentral:rRNA from 1 species
CCUACGGGGGGCAGCAGUGAGGAAUAUUGGUCAAUGGACGGAAGUCUGAACCAGCCAAGUAGCGUGCAGGAUGACGGCCCUAUGGGUUGUAAACUGCUUUUAUGCGGGGGUAAAGUGAGUGACGUGUCAUUCAUUGCAAGUACCGCAAGAAUAAGGACCGGCUAAUUCCGUGCCAGCAGCCGCGGUAAUACGGAAGGUCCUGGUGUUAUCCGGAUUUAUUGGGUUUAAAGGGAGCGUAGGCCGUCAGGCAAGCGUGUUGUGAAAUGUCGUGGCUCAACCAUGGACUUGCAGCGCGAACUGCCCGACUUGAGUGCGCAGAAAGCAGGCGGAAUUUGUGGUGUAGCGGUGAAAUGCUUAGAUAUCACGAAGAACCCCGAUUGCGAAGGCAGCCUGCUGUAGCGCUACUGACGCUGAAGCUCGAAAGUGCGGGUAUCGAACAGGAUUAGAUACCCGAGUAGUCC